rnacentral:lncRNA from 1 species
AAAUUGGCACAUUGCAAAUCAACUAUACUUUAGUAAAAAAUUUUAAAAAAAUUAACCAGAAAAAAAAGUUAGGAGCAGAGUCCUAACAUAAAAUAAGUAUUCAGAAAAGUCCUUUUGUUUUGUUUUAUUUUUAUUUUGUCUUUCUUGGCCACCCCCAGCACAUGGAAUUCCUGGCCAGGGAUUAUAUCUGAGCCAUAGUUGUGACUUAAGCCGCAGCCGUGGCAAUGCCGGAUCCUUAAGCCACUGUGCUGGGCUGGGGAUUGAACCAGUGUCCCAGUGCUCCCUAGAUGCCACCGAUCCUGUUGCACCGCAGUGGGCACUCCAGAGAAGUCAUUUUGGAAAGAUGCUAAUACCAGCUGGAUGACAGAACUGGAUGACAGGAAGAGUUUCAGUCUGUCAGAGGCCCUGGAUCAGCCUCAAAGGAGGCAUUUAACUCUGUGUCCAAAAGUCUCAUUUUAUUUUUAAAAAUUAUUUAUUAUUUUUUGCUUUUUAGGGCCGCACCUGUGGCAUAUGAAGGUUCCCAGGCCAGGGGUCGAAUCGGAGCUACAGCUGCCGGCCUACACACAGUCACAGCAACUCAGGAUCUGAGCUGCAUCUGUGACCUACACCACAACUCAUGGUAAUGCCGGAUCCUUAACCCAGUGAGCAAGGCCAGGUAUUGAACCCAUAUCCUCAUGGACGCUUAGUCGGGUUCAUUAACGGCUGAGCUACUUUGGGAACUCCUGAAAGUGUCAUUUAAAGUACUAUUCUCAGUGGUAUAAAAUGUCUAACAACUAACAGUCAAAAAACCAAAACCAAGGGCAGGUUCUGAGCCAAUAACUGGACUUCACUACGUGUGGCUUUGGGAAGGGAUGUGUGCCCUCCACCUUCACCGGCGGAGGCAAGUUGGCUCUAACCCCGCUGCCUGUCCUGGUCGCCUGAAUUCCUGAGACCCUCUGUUUUUUCUUCUUCCUUCCCUCCCUCCCGGCCUCAUCCCUUCCUUCUUUAUUCUCUCCUUUCUUUUUUUUAAAAAAUAGAUUGUUUUGUAUUGUAUUGUAUUGUACUGUAUUGUAUUCUGAUCUGUUCUGUUUGCUUUUGGCUGCCCUGAGGCAUAUGGAGUUCCCGGCCAGGAAUCAGACCUGGGUCACAGCUGCAGAAACUCACUGUGCUGUACCAGGCCAGGGAUCAAACCUGCGUCCUGGCACUGCAGAAAUGACCCAGAUCCAUCUGUGCCAUAGCAGGAACUCCUAAUAGACCCUAUUUUUUUUUUUUUUUUUUUUAAGAGCAGUUUUACGUUCACAGCAGAACUGAGCAGAAACCACGGAGGCUUCCCACAGGCCUCCUGUGCCCAGACGUGCACAGCCUUUGCUAAGAGCAGAGAAAUUUAGUUACAGAGAAGACUUUGGGACAGGUGACCCCUGGAGUCCAGGUGAAUUUUUAGAGUGGUGAAGAUCACUAGCACACGUCUGUGCAGACGUGCAGCCAGCCCUGACUGUCGCAGUCCUGUGGUUGCGUGUGUGUAAUGUGCUCCCUCACAGAACCGUGGGCACAUUGCCUGGGGCCGUCUCGAAAAGAGCCCAGUUCAGGGAGGGCAGUUGUCACCUGUGCCCCCCGCCCAGGUCACAGGCAAGAGCGGGACCAGCCCACCCGGGCAGGGAAAUGUCGCCCCUGAAACACUGCCUCCCACCGCCGCCCAGGCCCAGCUCAACGUCGGAAGCCCUGGCGGCGGCUCGUUGCUCCCUUCCUGGAGAGGCCCUUGUGACACGGGAGGUUUCUGCAUCCGCUGCGUUGGAGCAGGUGGAGUGUUGUACUCCUGCGCCAGCCCUCCGUUCUCCUCUGUCCCCCUCUCACAGCAGCACCACGUUUGGGCCCAUCUUCUUCCAGAACUAAAGCCCAUCCCCAAGUGUAUUUCUCCGCCAGCCUCCUCUUCCUACAAGUCUGAAAACAUGUGUCUGUGAUACGUCUCAUCCUGAAAUACUAAGCUGUCCGACAGCGUCCUGCCCUGGGUUCGAAGUUCCGUGGCAGCGCAGAAAAAGGGAGAUAAAACUGGAUUAGCUCCUUGUUUUCUGACGAGAGAUGCCUUAGGGCUUCGUGUGCAGGGACCGGCGCCAGUUGGAAGUCACAGCCUGGAGAUGCCCACGGCGGUCUUGCCCAGGAGGGUUGCCUCCACGAUCCUGCUCUUGGCCGCUGCCCCGCUUCCGCGAAAGGCAACGCCGCCUUCCGGGUGCUCGAGUCUUGGCAUCAUCCUUCCUCCCUCGUCUCCCUCGUGCCCUCUGUCCCGUGGCUGUGGAACCCUGCCGGCUUGCUCUUCCUGCGCUCUCGGGAGUCUGACCUCCUCGCCGCCCGCAUCGUCCCUCGCCUCGCCUCGUGCUCUUCCGGCUCCUUCCCGCCUCCCCAAGAGGGGCCUUUCCCAUGGAAGUCGGAACAUUCCUCCUCCGCCCAGCCUUCCAGCGGCUUCCAGUCCCAGAGCGAAAGCACCCCUUAGGAGAGGAAACAGCCUGAACCCCCAGCCCGAGCCCUGCUCUGCGGAAUCUGGCCACCCCUUCUCUCUCCUUCUGAACCCCCGCCCGAGCCCUGCCUGGUGGAAUCUGGCCACCCCCUCGCCUCCCUCUUGCUCUGCCGCAUCCACUCUGACCCCCUCGCCGUUUGCUGAACAGUUCAGAAGCGCUCCUGCUCCUGGCCUUUGCCUUUUCUGUCUUGCCUGGAAGACUCUUCCCUCCACUAUCACUCCCUUCUGGCCACCUGUCCCCUUAAACCAGAGCCCCCCCCCCCCCCCCCGCCCCCAGGUGACCAGAGCUCCCCUCCCCACACACAACCUAUGCUCUUUUCUGUGUCACUCACCGAUGGGCCCGAGGCCUCGUUUUCUUUCUUGGCGCCUGUCUUCUCCCACUGGAACGGAAGCUCCACCAGGGCGGGAACAUCUGACCAUGGCCCGGCUUGUGGCAGGGCUCAGUAUUUGUCACGUGAAUGAGUAGUUACCGUGCUGUGAUGAGAACCCAGUCUGCAGCCCAUGGCCUCAGCUUGAGUCUCAGUUUAGUAGUAUUACUGGUGCGCUUGGCUGUGUGGCGUCUCAGAAGACCCCUCUGUAAAGUGGGGCCAGCAGCUGUGCCGACAUUAGGUGAUGGUUGUGUUUUUUAUUUCCUAUUUAAAUUUUACAUUUUUAUGCAUUUUUAAUUUUUAAAAAUUAAACUAUAGUUAAUUUAAGGUGUUGCAUUAGUUUCAGGUGUACAGCAAAAUGAUUGUUAUACAUAUAUAUACAUAAAUGUACACACACACACACACACACACUCACACACACACACACGAGUAGAGCUCCCCGAGCUGUACAGCAGGUCCUUGUUGAUGACCUGCUUUGUACAGAGUAGUGUGUAUCUGCUCAUCCCAAACUCCUCAUUUAUCCUCCUCUCUUUUCCCUUUGGUGACCAUAAAUUUGUGUCUGUGUCUGUGCAUCUACUUCUGUUUUGUGUAGAAGUCCACUUGUAUCCAUGUUUUUUAGAUUCCGUGUAGAAAUGAAGCUUGAGAGAGGCCAUAGAGCGUUUCGCGCAGUCGUCCCUGGGAGCUGGUGCUCAGCGAGUGAGCCUUCGGGGUCGCCCUUACCGAGCAAUGAGAACACCAUCACACACCUGCCCCCUGAGAGCAGAGGCAGAGAUGGGGACGCAGGCCAGGGAGGCAGUCGUCAGGUGUCAGACAGCGAGUGACCGGGGGCAGAGCACAGCGAGAAGUGGCUCCCGUGGCCCCACUUCAUCUAGAACGGGGCUGCGUCUGGGGCUUUGCUGAUGUCAUGAGUGCAGGAGGUCAAGGUUCAUGUGGGUCUGGACACUGAAGAAGGUCAUUUAACCUUUCCCGAAGUCUGUUCCCUGGAGCCCUAGUCCUCUCACCUGCUCCAAGGAAGACAUGCUCCCAUUUGGGGAGCGUUAAGCACUGUAUCGCUGCUCAGAUACUGUCCGUGCAUGUUGUCGUGGCAGAGGCUCUGCGAAAUCCUCCGUCAAGGGUCCCGUUUUACUCUCCUGCGUAAUCUCCUCGAAGCAUAUUUGACUCCAGACCUGCUUGUGUACGUGAGGUCUGUUAACACCCUGCAGGACAAAGGUUCUGCAGAACGUGCUUGGAAAACCCCGGUAUAAGGCGAUCCACCCAGCCAGGCUCUGGCCGCUGCUGGCGUUGGUCAGGCUGUGGUCGCUGGGGAUGGACCACGAUGGAGAUAAUAUGGGCGGAGGCUGGAGGUCCACACGGUCGGGGCGGCCGAUUGGAAACCAACCCACCAGCGGGAGGCCCAGUCCUGAGUGUCUAGAGCAGCCUGGGGGGGCCCCUUGAGCCCCAGGCAGGCAGCAGCAUGCCGCAGACAGCGUCCAGGGGUGGCGAGAGGUGGUUCCUGGGUUUCCUAACGGAAAACUCAGGAGAACUCAGCACCGGGGAAUCUGGUAGGAGGCCCUGUGCCAAGGUUCAGGGAGGGAGGGAGCCAGCUGGUAGGUGGACCUUGUGUGAGCGUGGAGCCGUGAAAGCGGCCGUGCUUUCCUCUCCAGGGGCCUGGGAGGCUGUUCAGGAACACAGCAGGAGGCAGAAUCCAUCAAAGCAGGUUGCAAGAUGGGCGGCUGGAGGUCCAGAAGCUCGGGGUCAGGGAGCAGAACAGGCCUCGUUCUGCCGUGCAGGGAAGAAGGCCAGAGUGACCGGGUCUUCUUAAAGUCCUUUAUGACUUCACAUGCCUGGAAUUUCACCCUCUUCCUGUGCUGAGCCCACCGGGAGAGCCACGGGGACACAGCUGUGGGGAAGGAGGUGCAGGGACUGGGAGCCAGGCUGUCACCCCGGGAUGGAAGGUUCUCGCAUCCAUGAGACAGAGCCGGGUAGCAGGCGGCCGAAGCUCCCUAGCUAUUCCUCCUUGCUUCGUCCUAGGCUUCGGGUCUCAGCCGAGUGCUGUCUGCUCCACAGGUCGCACCUCUCAGCUGGGGGACAUCGGGGACGCACUUUGCAGCCCCACCCCGGAGGUGGAUUUGCAAACUGACACCCAGGAGGGGUCCUGGUCCUCCUGUUUGGGUUGCUCUGCACCAUUUCCUGGGGAGCAGCUGAGGAACCAAGGCCAUUUGAAAACGAGGCUGUGUAGACUUGGUUGGUGGCCAAGUUAAGUUUGUAAGGAAGAGAACUUGCCAUAAAACUACCCCCACUGUCUGUCAGUAGUCUGAAGCCAGAGAAGGCUACGCUGCUCGAUACCAUCUGGGGGAAGGUGUUUGCCAAACUCUGGGAAUAUUUGCAGUUUCCUCAAUUCAUAGUUAGGUCUCUUAAGCCAGUUUCCACCCACCCUGCCCAACAGUUUCUGCUGGGACUAGAUAAAGCCGCUUCACACCCUUUGAAGUGGCCCUUUGAAAUAGCCACUUCAGAGGUGUGGCAGAUACUCUUUUUAAAAAUUUGUAUUCCAUACAUUUAACACACAUCCAGGACACAGAACAGAAUACAACUGGUAUAAGGCAGGCACCAGCCAACCCAGAACAUAGAAAGGAAAGAGUCUGAGCAGAGUGGUAAUCCAGGAGGUCCUCAUGGAAGAGGGGACGUUUAAGCGUGGCCUCGACAGACAAAGAACAGAACAGACUCAUGGUUGUCAAGGCGGGGGAGGGAGUGGGAUGGACGGGGAGUGUGGGGUUCAUAGAUGCGAACUAUCCCAUUUAGGAUGGUAAGCAGUGAGGUCCUGCUGUGCAGCCCAGGGAAACCGAUCCAAUCUCCCGGGAUAGACCCCGAUGGAAGAGAAUACAAGAAGGGGAAUGUGUGUUUAUGUAUGACUGGGUCACUGUGCUGCACAGCAGAACCUGGCACAACCCUGUAAAUCAACUCUACUGCAAUACAAAAUGCAAACAAAGAUUAAAAAUUUUAUCCUGAUGGAGUUCCCAUCGUGGCGCAGUGGUUAACGAAUCCGACUAGGAACCAUGAGGUUGCGGGUUUGGUCCCUGCCCUUGCUCAGUGGGUUAAUGAUCCGGCGUUGCCGUGAGCUGUGAUGUAGGUUGCAGAUGCGGCUCGGAUCCCGCGUUGCUGUGGCUCUGGCGCAGGCCGGUGGCUACAGCUCCGAUUCCACCCCUAGCCUGGGAACCUCCAUAUGCCGUGGGAGCAGCCCAAAGAAAUAGCAAAAAGACAAAUAAAUAAAUACAUAAAUAAUUUUAUCUUGAAAUAAAAAAAGAGAAGAGUCUGCAUUGUUGAUUAGCUUGCUGACCUCCUGGGGGGUUCUCUCUGGGGAACGUAAUGGGGGGAAUUGCAGAGACUUUGAAAAGGGAGUAGUCUUGCUUUCAGCUCUAAUGUUUUGUCUCCACGUUAAGGAGCCCUUAGGUAAGAGUGAGCUCGACUGAGAAAUGGAUAGACAUUUCCUCCCUCUCUGGAUUCCAUCCCCCAUGUUCUCAUUC